rnacentral:lncRNA from 1 species
AUGGCAGAAUGUAGUAUAGUCAUGAUUACAUGUCUUUUUCUAUACUCUGUUUUUCAUAAAGUUUUUAAUUGUCCCUCUCUCUUUUUUUUUUUCAUUAUCUCCCAUGAUUUCUUCCAAAAUUCUCAUACUACCUGGUCAAUGAAGACUUCUUUUUCUAGGAGAUUUCCAGUCCCUGCUACCCCUCCAGCCUCUAAACCAACUGCACUCCAGGCCUGUGGAGCAGUUAUCGCUGAGACUGCCUGCACUGCAAUACUAGGGAGUAAAGAUUCCAUAUACCUGUUCGAAACACCUCACUGUGGAAGAAGUCUUGACCAACUAGGUGAGAACUACUCCACCCUCAGAAAAGAAAAAUAAUAUUGGUUCUGCCUCCUGGUGCUGGCAAGGAACACAUGAGAUAAUGAAUAUGCAAGUGCACACUGAAGAUUUCCAGUCUAUUUCUAAACAGACUGCUGAAGCAUCAAAGAGCCAAGCAUAUAAUUGAAGCAAUUAAGCUUUAGGAAAACAACUUAAAAAUAAAAUUUGACUAAAAAAAUUAAAUUUGAGUAAUUAUUCAACCUUGUUGGACACUCUGCCCAAUCAUCUAUCCUAUUUUCUACCCAGUAUAACUGCUUUCUCUUUAUCUUUUUCUUUUAUUAAGAUUUUAUUUGGGGGGUACCUGGUGGCUCAGUGGGUUAAGCCUCUGCCUUCAGUCCUGGUCAUGAUCUCCGGGUCCUGGGAUGCAGCCCGGCAUCAGGCUCUCUGCUCAGCAGGGAACCUGCUUCUCUCUCUCUCUCUGACAGCCUACUUGCAAUUUCUCUCUCAAAUAGAUAAAUAAAAUCUUUAAAAAAAAAUUUAUUUUUAAGUAAUCUACACCCAAUGAGCCGAAGGCAAACACUUAACUAAGCUUCUAACUAACCAAGCGUCUAACUAAUUAAGUGUCUAACUGACUAAGCCACCCCAGGCAUCUCUUAGCAGAGACAAUUUCAU